UGUUCUGUUUCGGCAAUUUUUUUGGCCUUUGCAGUUUGUACACAAGUGGUUCCAUCAAUGCAUUGUACCAAGGGUGGAUGUACUCCAAGAACUCCAAUCAUCUCAGCCACCUUGUGGGGGUGGGAUGUCGCCGUUGGUGAGGUGUUCAUGAUGCCAGGCUAAGGACCGUCGUUCCUCUUGUUCAACUCUCAAUGAAAGCAGUUUCUUUUUCUAUUUUUUUCUUCUUCUCCAAGUGUACUGUUUCGGGAAUUCUUUUGGCCUUUGCCAAACGGAGACCGAGGCAAUUCCUUUUUCUUGUUUUUUCUUCUUCCCCGAGUGUUCUGUUUCGGCAAUUUUUUUGGCCUUUGCAGUUUGUACGCAAGUGGUUCCAUCAAUGCAUUGUACCAAGGGUGGAUGUACUCCAAGAACUCCAAUCAUCUCAGCCACCUUGUGGGGGUGGGAUGUCGCCGUUGGUGAGGUGUUCAUGAUGCCAGGCUAAGGACCGUCGUUCCUCUUGUUCAACUCUCAAUGAAAGCAGUUUCUUUUUCUAUUUUUUUCUUCUUCUCCAAGUGUACUGUUUCGGGAAUUCUUUUGGCCUUUGCCAAACGGAGACCGAGCUCCAUGGAGCCCUUUAUUUGAAAACUUUAAAUCCAAACUUUUCAGUUUCAAAAAAUUCUGAAAAUAAAUACACAUAUACUUAGAUACAUAAUGUACAUGUGUGCAAAUUUUCAGGUCGAAGUACAUCAAAAUGUGAGCUGCACAAAAAAGACAAAUCUGAGGCCUUUUAGCAUAUGUACUAUUCAUCUAUAAAGUCCAUGAUUUUGGUUUUUUUGUACAGCUCGCAAUUCAAGGUAUUUCAUCAUAAAAAAUUUCACACAUACACUUUACAUCCUCAUACAUGUGUAUUUUUUUUCAGAAUUUUUUGCAACUGAAAUUUAUGAAUUUUGAAUUAUUCAAAAUAAAGGGCUCCAUGGAGCUCGGUCUCCAAAAUGCGCUCCAAGAUCUCAAAUCAUCUCAGCCACCUUGUGGGAUGGGAUGUCGCCGUUGGUGAGGUGUUCAUGAUGCCAGGCUAAGGACCGUCGUUCCUCUUGUUUGAAAAUCCUACACCUCUGUCCCAGAGGGUGUUCUACAAAUGCCCUAAUCAAAAUCACAGGCUCACAUCGGAAAUCCAACUCCAGGAUCAUAUCAUGGGUUUGAGACCUGAAAAACUCGUAGAUAGAUGAAGACCAUAAUAAUAGCUCCAAAAGUCCAAAAACCUCCUACAUAUGAGGGGAGAGAGAAGGGAAUCUCAAUGGCAAACUUGUAAUUCUGCACCAAAAUCCCUCAUACGUACAAGUCAUGGGCAAAUGUGAUAUGAUAUUCUUGCGCCGUGAAGAAAUACACUAGAUGCCACAUGAUAUUCUUGUAAUCGUUCAACCCUUCAUCCUUGACCAUGUCUUGCCAUGACACUAGGUUGAGAUAUGCUCUUCCUCUUAUCUUGCCAUCCCUCCCUAGCAUGGCCAGAACCAAGGACUUGUUUCGACUUCCAAAGUUGCCAAAGUAACUGAAAGUGCAUCUCUUAGAUUUCCUUAAUUUGUUUUGAACGUCGAUAACUACCGAACGUUUGGUCUGGGGGCGUACCAGACCGAACGAAAGGUUCGGUACGCCAUCUUAGCCCGGCCGAACGAUUUCGUUCGGGAUGAGAGGCCCCCAGCCCGAACGCCCAUUCCCACUGCCCCUACAGGCCCUUUUUUAGGAACACCGCCUUACAGGCCUCUUCUCUGUAGAAACAAAAAAAAAGCCCAGAAGCGACACAAAAAGCCCUU